ACUGUUAGAAAUCCAAGAGAAGAGAUCCUCUUCCCUUAGCAUCAUCAGAGGAAAAAUCUGUUUCUUAAUCAGUUCGUUUCAGCGUUUGUCUCUUCUCGAGCAAGGCGUGCGUUUGGACUCAAGGUUUCAUUUGACUCUCCUGCUGUUUUUUUUUCCAGCUGUAAUUCAUAACGCGCUCUGUGACCUUCUCCCUCCCUCAGGACUCUGUGGUCUGUGUGUUCUGGUGUCUGCUGAGUCACCAGAAAUCUGCCAAGACACUGACACUUGCGCCUGCUUCAACAUCUGGCGCAUAAGGGCUUUAAGGUUUCCAGAACCAAGCUGCAAUAUUGCAUGGACACUUAAGUAUUUGAACUUUUGAAGUUUUGAACUUUCUCAAGGCUGUCAUUCUAGACACAAAACCUCCUCCACUGCAACAUCCUUUGACCUGGACUGACGCUAUGGUGGUCACUUAUCACUCCCUCAGAAGCACCCUUUGUUCCGCCCCUGGGUUACCUGCUCACUUCAAGCCCUUCCACCUCUAUGCCUGUGGACACCGGGGCACGGCCUCUGGGGAACAUGAGGGGGGGGAGGUGCAUCAUUGUGCGUUUUUAUCCAAAACAUUAGACAUUGUUGCUCAAGGCUUACCUGCGUGUCUGGGGGCUGUCUCCGCAUGUGCUUUGAUGGUUUGAUGGUUGUAAAAUUGACAGACCCAUUAAAUUAAUUAAUCAGUAAUUUAAUAGAUAAUUAGAUUAACAUAUGACUAUUUAUUCUCUGUUCUACUCACAUCCUCUUUUGAUAAUGUAGGUCGCGCUCUCUGCCUUAACGAACAGUUUAUUCUCCAGCAGAUGUUGAAGAACCUGCCGGAUGCAACCCCGAUGUUCCUCCAGGGAGCAAGAGAAAAUCAAGAUAUCAUCCAGAUAAACAAAGACACUGAGAAAAUGUAUCAUUUAAAGAGAAAAAUUAGGUGAUUUUGGGGCGGCACGGUGGUGUAGUGGUUAGCGCUGUCGCCUCACAGCAAGAAGGUCCUGGGUUCGAGCCCCGGGGCCGGCGAGGGCCUUUCUGCGCGGAGUUUGCAUGUUCUCCCCGUGUCUGCGUGGGUUUCCUCCGGGUGCUCCGGUUUCCCCCACAGUCCAAAGACAUGCAGGUUAGGUUAACUGGUGACUCUAAAUUGAGCGUAGGUGUGA